AUUGAACGCUAGCGGGAUGCUUUACACCUGCAAGUCGAACGAGUGGCGGACGGGUGAGUAAUAUAUCGGAACGUGCCCAGUAGCGGGGGAUAACUACUCGAAAGAGUGGCUAAUACCGCCUACUAUUGGAGCGGCCGAUAUCGGAUUAGCUAGUCGGUGGGGUAAAGGCUCACCAAGUCAACGAUCCGUAGCUGGUUUGAGAGGACGACCAGCCACACGGGGACUGAGACACUGCCCAGACUCCUACGGGAGGCAGCAGUGGGGAAUGUUAGACAAUGGGUGAAACCCUGAUCCAGCCGUCCCGCGUGUAUGAGAAGGCCUUCGGGUUGUAAAGUACUUUUGGAAGAGAAGCGGUAUCUGCGGAAUACGCACCGGCUAACUACGUGCCAGCAGCCGCGGUAAUUC
rnacentral:rRNA from 1 species